UAAAUAACUUUUUUGUCUAUCACAGCUUUAACCUCGUGUGACCCCGCAGCCUCAUGCGAGGCUAUUUUGGAUUCGCUAUACACAACGCAUAAUUUAAAUUAAUUUAAACCCAUUCCAUACUGUUCAAGAACUCUGAGUCAUUUAAGAGUUAACAUUCUGACACACAGAGUCACGUGACCAAACACCAUGGCGUUGAUUUCCGUGAACUGCUUCUAUGGGCGCAGUGCCAACAAAUGUACCUCUGAGGAACAAAAUUAACCAAGACAUAUAAAUGAGUUUGUGCAUUGUCUGGGGUGAAUACCUCUUCAGCUGACCCACCAGGAUCAGGUUAGGGGCAGUGCCAGUGAGAGUUGCUGUUCCUCCGAUGCUUGCAGCGUAAGUAUCUGUUUUUCAGAAGGCAGUACGUGCAUCUUCACCUGAGAAUCACCUGCAGGGAAUCUUGACUGACAACAAAAGUGCUGUUUUGGAAAAAGUUAUAGUUCAAAGUUCUCUGUUCAGUUCUCUUUUAGAGUCUCCAGAUUUCCAAACAGACUUUCCAGUAUGGCAUUAGCAAUGGGAAGCAUCAUGGCUGUUGUGGCUGUAUUACUCAACCACAUUGACAGGAAAGAGGAAGUGACCAUCAUCCCUAAAAUCAGCCUGAAGAAGAAACAACGACGAGAGUUACAACCACCAAAACUAGGAAACCAUUUAACCAUUGUUAAAUAUGUAAACACUGAUUACUGAUUACAAAUUACAUGACUAAAAUUGUAGUCAGUAACAUACUCUCUUGGAUUACAUUUUAAAGUAAUUUAAUCUGAUUGUUUUUGGAUUACUUGUGACCUAAUUCUUGUUUAUUUGAUUUCACAUGCAUCUGAGUAGGAUAAGCUUGACAAUGUAAAAACUGUUCUAAAUGGAUCAAAAUAUGAGAAUUUAUAUUAUUUUAGUUUGUGUGUUUUACCUGCUAUUUGCCUGUUUACGAGCAAAUUUAAAUUAAAAUGUUACUCUGGCAAUUUCGGCAUUACCAAUGUCAUCCAUGUGUGGUAACAGAUCAGACCAGUUAUAUUUGUGAAUCAACGUUAAAAAAAAGUCUCGAAAGUUGUCGCAAAAGCAAAAGGGUGUCUAUGUACGUUUUUGAAACCGAGUACCAAAGCAAUUUGCAAAACUAAAACUAACUUCACAGUACUAAUGCAGCUGGUUUGGCAUUUAUGUGUGGAUUACAGCUCCACCUUCAGUGUAAUUAUGACCGGUGACUAGAAUCAGGUCCCCACCCCCCCCCACCUCCCAUUUGAAAACCAAAUUUACCAAAUGUUAAUCAACUGUAGACUGAUUUAGAAUGACAUUUUUUUAAUAUUU